GACGAACGCUGGCGGCGUGCUUAACACAUGCAAGUCGAACGGAAAGGCCCUGCUUUUGUGGGGUGCUCGAGUGGCGAACGGGUGAGUAACACGUGAGUAACCUGCCCUUGACUUUGGGAUAACUUCAUGAAACUGGGGCUAAUACCGGAUAGGAGCUCCUGCUGCAUGGUGGGGGUUGGAAAGUUUCGGCGGUUGGGGAUGGACUCGCGGCUCAUCAGCUUGUUGGUGGGGUAGUGGCUUACCAAGGCUUUGAAGGGUAGCCGGCCUGAGAGGGUGACCGGCCACAUUGGGACUGAGAUACGGCCCAGACUCCUACGGGAGGCAGCAGUGGGGAAUAUUGCACAAUGGGCGGAAGCCUGAUGCAGCAACGCCGCGUGCGGGAUGACGGCCUUCGGGUUGUAAACCGAUUUCGCCUGUGACGAAGCGUGAGUGACGGUAAUGGGUAAAGAAGCACCGGCUAACUACGUG
rnacentral:rRNA from 1 species